UACGGAGGGUGCUAGCGUUGUUCGGAAUCACUGGGCGUAAAGCGCACGUAGGCGGCUUUGUAAGUUAGGGGUGAAAGCCUGGUGCUCAACACCAGAACUGCCUUUAAGACUGCAUCGCUUGAACGUCGGAGAGGUGAGUGGAAUUCCGAGUGAUAGAGGUGAAAUUCGUAGAUAUUCGGAAGAACACCAGUGGCGAAGGCGGCUCACUGGACGACUGUUGCGCUGAGGUGACGAAAGCGUGGGGAGCAAACAGG
rnacentral:rRNA from 1 species